rnacentral:rRNA from 1 species
UACGUAGGGGGCAAGCGUUAUCCGGAUUUACUGGGUGUAAAGGGAGCGUAGACGGCUGUGCAAGUCUGAAGUGAAAGCCCGUGGCUCAACCGCGGAACUGCUUUGGAAACUGUAUAGCUUGAGUACUGGAGAGGCAGGCGGAAUUCCAUGUGUAGCGGUGAAAUGCGUAGAUAUAUGGAGGAACACCGGUGGCGAAAGCGGCUCUCUGGCCUGUAACUGACACUGAGGCUCGAAAGCGUGGGGAGCAAACAGG